AUAAAUUUGGCCAUUAAGUGGCAGGGCUAACUGUUGCCUGAAGAAGGGUAA
rnacentral:ncRNA from 1 species